CAAGAUUUGAUCUUGAGUUGAAAGAUGUGUCUGAUAUUUUUGUAGAGUCUCCCUUCAGGGUGUUUGCAGAUAGCUUGAAAAAUGGGGGAAUUAUCAAAGUAUUAUGUGUGCCUUCAGGUGCUAAGAGUUAUUCAAAUACAGCUCUGAAGAAAGGUGACAUUUACAAUGAAGCGAUCAAGUCUGGGGCAAAGGGAUUACCCUUUCUUAAGGUCUUAGAUGAUGGGGAGGUUGAGGGAAUUCCUGCACUAGUGUCAAGUUUGGAUCCGACAAGUAAAGAACAGUUGCUGAGACGAUGCUCUGCAGGACCAGGG
rnacentral:misc_RNA from 1 species